AUGGUCUUUACAUGGUCUGCAAGUCACAUUUCAUUCUGUACCAUAUACACCUUGGUUUUUUUAACUUCAAUUUCAUUUUGCUCUGCUGGAGAUACCAUAACAUUCAGCAAUCCAAUUAAUGACAGCCGGAAAGAAUCUCUUGUAUCGGCCGAAAAAAGAUUCGAGCUUGGUUUUUUCACCCCUAAUGGAAGCUCUAAGCAUAGACGAUAUGUAGGGAUAUGGUAUAAGUCAAGUCCAAGUGUAGUUGUAUGGGUUGCUAACCGCGAUAACCCGCUGUCCAAAACCACUGGGGCUUUUAUCCUUACAGACGAUGGCGACCUACAGGUGCUGGAGGAUGCUAAAACGUUGUGGUCAGCUAAAAAAGGUGGAUCAACUUCUUUUAAUAGGACAGUGAAGCUCCUGGAUUCUGGGAACUUAGUUCUUAUUGAAGGUCAAGUUGUCUCAGAAUCAAAAGCAAAUAUCCUCUGGCAAAGCUUUGAGAAUCCAACUGAUACAUUUCUUCCUGUAAUGAAGAUGAGUGCAACGAUGCUUCUGACUUCUUGGAAAAGUCAAGACGACCCUGCCCCAGGGGACUUCAUUUUCCAGAAAGAUCAAGACGGAGAAAACCAGUACAUUGUCGAGCAAAAAACUAGUCCAUAUUGGAAGAGUGGAGUAUCAGGGAGCCUCUUUUACUCUGAUAAUAAUUUCCUUGCCAUAUUUUCCUUGCUAUCUAAUUUCAGUAGGAAAAAAAUGCCCACAAAAUUCAAUCUUACCAAGUCUAUUCAAAUCCCUGAAAGUUUUCAUUAUUAUAGACUGGUAAUGAAUUUCACUGGUAGGGUAGAGUUUUAUAUUUGGGACAAUGAGAAAAACUCAUGGUCUUUGAUCUGGUGGGAACCAGAAGAUAAAUGUAGCGUGUUCGAUGCUUGUGGGGACUUUGGUAUCUGCAAAUCUUGGGAAUGGGCCAUUAAUGUGCAAGUGUCUACCUGGGUUUGAGCCUAGGUCAGAAGGCUGCUUUAGAAAAUCCCCCAUAUGCAAUAAUAAUAAUGUUAUGGCUGAUCACUUUUUGAGCUUGAAGAUGAUGAAAGUGGGAACUCAAAGUACCACAAAAGAAAAAGGGAGUGCAGAUGAAUGCAAAGAGGAAUGCCGUAGCGACUGUAACUGCCAGGCUUAUUCAUAUGUAAUUACAGAAAGGAUACGUCACGGCACAUGCUAUUUCUGGUCAAAUGAAAUUAAAAAUAUACAGGAGCAGAUAGAAGGGGGCAUUGACCUCUAUGUUCGUGUAAAGCUUUCUGAUAUAGAACUGACAAAAAGAGAUUGUGAGCCUUGUGGCACUACAAUAAUUCCCUAUCCACUAAGCAUCAGACCAGAUUGUGGUGAUCCUAUGUACUCACAUUUCAACUGCAACGAUACCUCUGGCCAAGUUAGCUUUGGGCCGGCUGGUGGUACAUAUCCAGUCACAAUCAUUCACCCUCAAGAACAAACAUUUACAAUUAGAGUGAAUAAUUAUACAGCUAUUGAUGUAGUGAGAAAGCUUCUGGAGCUCAAUCACUUGCCAUUUAAUGUGACCAAAUCAAAUCUUUCAUCUAAAGAUGGAUCGUUAAAUGAAGUAGAAAUCCGGUGGAAGCCUCUAUUAUCUCCAAUCUGCAAUUCAGUGAAAGACUGCGAUGAUUGGCCACAUUCAACUUGCCACACAAUGAAAGGUGGAACAAAAAGGUGCCUUUGCAACACAGAGUUCCAAUGGGAUCCCUCAAAUUUCAAUUGCAACCCAGUUGUGCACAACGAGCUUGCAGUGUCUCACAAAAAAAAGAACCUAUUACGUGCAAUUAUCCCAGUGAUUGUUGCAACUUUGAUGGUUAUUGCAUGCUGUUACUUAUAUUAUUUAAGAAGAAGAAAAGUGGCCAACGGACAAGAAUCAGUUAACAGGGAAAGAAAUCAAGGAAACGCAACAUUUCGACUGUAUGACAGUGAACGAAAAGUCAAAGACUUGAUAGAUUCAAACCAAUUUAGAGAAGAUGAGAAAAAAGGCAUAGAUGUACCAUUUUUCAAUUUGAAAAGCAUACUAGCUGCUACAGAUUACUUCUCAGAUACAAAAAAGCUUGGACAAGGUGGCUUUGGGCCUGUUUACAAGGGUACAUUUCCAAGCGGACAAGAAAUUGCUAUAAAGAGGCUCUCGAGUGGUUCAGGGCAAGGCUUGGAGGAAUUUAAGAAUGAGGUUGUUUUAAUUGCUAAACUUCAGCAUCGGAAUCUUGUUAGACUUUUGGGUUAUUGCAUAGAAGGAGAUGAAAAAAUGUUACUCUAUGAAUACAUGCCAAACAAGAGUUUAGACUCAUUUUCAUUUGAUCGGACUCUAUGCGUGUUACUGAACUGGAAGAUACGCUUUGACAUCAUUUUGGGAAUCGCUCGAGGGCUGCUCAAUCUUCACCAAGAUUCUAGGUUGAGGAUUAUUCAUAGAGAUUUGAAAACAAGCAAUGUUCUAUUGGAUGAGGAGAUGAGCCCCAAGAUUUCAGACUUUGGCUUGGCAAGGAUAUUUGGAGGCAAACAAAUUGAGGCAACCACAACUAGAGUAGUUGGAACUUACGGCUACAUGUCUCCAGAAUACGCAUUGGAUGGGUUUUUCUCAAUCAAAUCUGAUGCCUUCAGCUUUGGAGUAGUUGUACUUGAGGUUAUCAGUGGAAAAAGGAACACAGGAUUUCACCAGUCAGAACAUGGUCUGAGUCUUUUAGGUUAUGCAUGGAAAUUGUGGAAAGAAGGAAAGGCUUUAGAUUUAAUGGACCAAACAAUACAUGAAACUUGUAAUGCUGACAAAUUUUUGAGGUGUGUUAACAUUGGGCUUUUAUGUGUACAAGAGGACCCAAGUGAUCGUCCGACAAUGUCGAAUGUAGUUUUCAUGCUUGGUAGUGAAACUGCAACUCUCCCAACUCCUAAACAACCAGCCUAUGUUGUAAGAAGAUCCCUUUCUAGUGCAACUUCUUCUACUACUAAACCAGAAAGUUUGAAUGAAUUAACAUGUACCAUUGAAGAAGGCCGAUAAUGGUGGAUCACAUAAGGGCUCUCAUGAUUCUUGUUUUAUCUUUAUCAGUCUUGCAGAAGCUUCUAGUAUUCUCACUAUGGUUCUCAUAGGAACAAUUACGGCAUAUUUCUUGUCUGUCAUAUUGAUACUUUUUUUAUAUUGUCCCUGAUAAGUGAUAACAUUGUAUCCAAUGUAAGUCUGAUUGUUUCCUAUUUGAACCUCCUUUGUAUUUAUUGUACUUCAACUGAUUUCUGAUUGUCUCUAACUCUGACCAGCUGCCUUCAUUUAUUUAUUCCUACUAUUUGGAAGCCUAGAACUGCAUUAUUUGCAAUUUUCAUCAAGAGGUACAGUCAGUCUUACAUUUCAGCUGUACUGUUCACUGCCACACUAAGCAGGAAGAGAUUCAAGAGAAUGCUAUUCACAUGUACCAUUAGUGCACUUAUAAAGAAUAGGCAUACAUGUCAUGUCUCCAUUGUAGGUCAUUUCAAAUG